CAUAUUUAAUUUUGUAUGGAACGGGAUCGUUUGCGUGCGUUUGCCGCUAGGGGCGCUGUUCCAGCUGCAUACAAAAUUGGAUUA
rnacentral:pre_miRNA from 1 species